CUGGUUGAUCCUGCCAGAGGCACCGCUUAUCUGGAAUACGCUUAAGCCAUGCGAGCGAGAGAUUCGGUCCUCGGCGCACCGUCAGUAACACGCGGAUGGGGCUGCCCUUGGGUCGGGGAUAAUCUCGCGAAAGUGAGGAUAAUACUCCGAUACGGACAGAGAGAUGUUGGAAUACUCCCAGGCCUAAAGUCGAGGCGCCCAAGGAUGAGUCUGCGGCCUAUCAGGCUGUAGUGGGGGUAACGGCCCCACUAACCUAUUACGGGUACGGGUCUUGGGAGAGAUUGCCCGGAGAUGGGUUCUGAGACAUGAACCCAGGCCCUACGGGGCGCAGCAGGGGCGAAAACUCGCACUGUGGGGAAA
rnacentral:rRNA from 1 species